ACAACAUUUUUUAUAAUGGCUUGUUUUAUGUUCCUGCUGCCAUCAAUUAUGGCCCAGAUGCCUAUGAACUUAUAAGAAAUUCAGGUAUAAAGUUUGUAACCAAUUCUCGGAUACAACAACCAGUUUUAUGUUCAAGCACACGCUUUCCAUCUUCAGUUUCUCUUGAAACAGUUGGACGCUUCCCUGCAACUACAGCUGGUCCUUCCUUUGCAGAACCUGUUCCUCCUCCACCACCAAGUCCUGGAGAUGUAAUUGAAGAUCAUGUUAUUGUUGAAACUAUUUGAAAGUUGAUGCCAUAAACUUGGAUUUGGGACAUUAUUCCUCUCAAUUCAACUGGCCACGCUGACCUCACCUACAUUGUCCCUGAUACAAUCUUGGAGUGGAAAGCCAAUGCCUUCUGUGUGGCCAAGGAGACUGGGUUUGGCAUCUCAGAGCCUGCAUCCCUGAUAGCCUUCCAGCCAUUCUUUGUGGAUCUGACACUGCCAUACUCCAUCGUUAGAGGGGAAGACUUCCUCCUUAAAGCUGUUAUUUUUAACUAUCUGGACAGAUGCAUCCAGGGACAUUCUCACACUACCGCUUUGUUCUCCUUGCUGGCUGAAACUGUUAGGAUGGAUCAGA